UAGAGUUUGAUCCUGGCUCAGGACGAACGCUGGCGGCAUGCCUAAUACAUGCAAGUCGAGCGGACUUGAAGAGAAGCUUGCUUCUCGAUAGUUAGCGGCGGACGGGUGAGUAACACGUAGGCAACCUGCCCUCAAGCUUGGGACAACUACCGGAAACGGUAGCUAAUACCGAAUAGUUGUUUUCUUCUCCUGAAGAAAACUGGAAAGACGGAGCAAUCUGUCACUUGGGGAUGGGCCUGCGGCGCAUUAGCUAGUUGGUGGGGUAACGGCUCACCAAGGCGACGAUGCGUAGCCGACCUGAGAGGGUGAUCGGCCACACUGGGACUGAGACACGGCCCAGACUCCUACGGGAGGCAGCAGUAGGGAAUCUUCCGCAAUGGGCGAAAGCCUGACGGAGCAAUGCCGCGUGAGUGAUGAAGGUUUUCGGAUCGUAAAGCUCUGUUGCCAGGGAAGAACGCUUGGGAGAGUAACUGCUCUCAAGGUGACGGUACCUGAGAAGAAAGCCCCGGCUAACUACGUGCCAGCAGCCGCGGUAAUACGUAGGGGGCAAGCGUUGUCCGGAAUUAUUGGGCGUAAAGCGCGCGCAGGCGGUCAUUUAAGUCUGGUGUUUAAUCCCGGGGCUCAACCCCGGAUCGCACUGGAAACUGGGUGACUUGAGUGCAGAAGAGGAGAGUGGAAUUCCACGUGUAGCGGUGAAAUGCGUAGAUAUGUGGAGGAACACCAGUGGCGAAGGCGACUCUCUUGGGCUGUAACGACGCUGAGGC
rnacentral:rRNA from 1 species